rnacentral:rRNA from 1 species
GACGAACGCUGGCGGCGUGCUUAACACAUGCAAGUCGAGCGAUGAAGCUCCUUCGGGAGUGGAUUAGCGGCGGACGGGUGAGUAACACGUGGGUAACCUGCCUCAUAGAGGGGAAUAGCCUUCCGAAAGGAAGAUUAAUACCGCAUAAGAUUGUAGUGCCGCAUGGUACAGCAAUCAAAGGAGUAAUCCGCUAUGAGAUGGACCCGCGUCGCAUUAGCUAGUUGGUGAGGUAACGGCUCACCAAGGCGACGAUGCGUAGCCGACCUGAGAGGGUGAUCGGCCACAUUGGGACUGAGACACGGCCCAGACUCCUACGGGAGGCAGCAGUGGGGAAUAUUGCACAAUGGGGGAAACCCUGAUGCAGCAACGCCGCGUGAGUGAUGACGGUCUUCGGAUUGUAAAGCUCUGUCUUCAGGGACGAUAAUGACGGUACCUGAGGAGGAAGCCACGGCUAACUACGUGCCAGCAGCCGCGGUAA